rnacentral:lncRNA from 1 species
ACAGCGCUGAUCGGCGUGACUGCAGCACCAUGGACAGCGCCACUGAUGGCGGCCUCACGCAUGGCUGGCCGCCUGGCUGGUGGCUGCGUUGCUGCCGAGUCCUUUCCAGGCACGGAAGCUGAAGAAGGUGCUCGCCCCAUAGGUGAGCAUCACGAGGCCGGCGAAGAACUGGAAGACGAGCAGAGUGGUGUGUGAGCAUGCAGUCCCAGAAGCUCGGCCGCAGCCCGUACACCCAUACUUACGGAGGCAGCGGCUCUCCUGUUGUAAUCCCACUGGCGCCACGAGGUGGGACGCUGAGAAAAUAACUGAAAAAUCCAAGCUGGACUACAUAUGCAGUUUCUUUCUGUUUGGCAGUGGCACAGAUGUAAGCUCGAGGGUACGUUGGGCACAGACCUGUUCACCACCGUGUCAUUUACUGCUCUAAAUAGCAUGCUGUACAAAAUGUGUGUUUGCUUUUAGCUGUAGGCAGUGUUAGUGAAGCAGCACGAGUGCUUGUAGUGGGGCUGUAGCCAUAAGCCUGCCACCAAACCCCAGCUGCUUCUGUCUUGACAGUUGGAAUUCAAACGUAUUUGGAGCCAUAGUGACCCUCUGCUCUAAUGCUGUCAGAUGUGUUAAUCUGCUGCUUAAUGACAUGCUCAGGCAAUACGUGUCUAAAAGCGUGAGAGCAGACAGAAGCAGGCUGCUGAUGCUGCAGAGCACUGAGUUUUCCCUGCCAGUGCAGCCAGUAGCUGUCACCCAGUGAGGACCUGGGCAGAGCAAAAGUACAGCCUGCUUUGCAGGGGGAAAGCCGCCUACCAGGACAAAGGAGGUGAAAUCCUGCUGCUGUUGGCUUCUGCCAGUCAUCUCAGCAGUGCUAGCGUUUGAUUGCUGAAAUGAAGUAGUUUAUUUGAGCAGCAGUGAGGACUCUGGGCCAUGCAGGCUUCUCCCUCAAGCAUGGUCAGCAUGCAGGGGUGGGAAGCAAACAGGGCGAUGCUCUGAGGUGGCUGUUACCAGAGGAAAACAGUAAGAACGUUGGGUAAUAGCUGCAUCUUGUUUGGAUUAGAGCUAUGUUCCCUUUUGAAUCCUGAGGUUAAAACUGGAGGUAUUGAAGACCUCAGGCUGCCAUUUAUACAUGGACAGGAGCUCUUUGGUUAACUCCUUCCCUCUGACUUUUUAAGGUUUUAUCAUAUUUUAAAAGAAAUUCCAUUGAAAUGUUUUAGUUGUGAAUUGUUGAGCUAAAUUAAUUCUUAACUAAAACCAGAAUUUCCCUUUUUAAUUUUAACUGGAACAAAAUCCUUACUCUCCUGUUGCAAUUGCUCUGGAUAAUUAUGUGAAGUCAUGGCAGUAUGAGUGGAUACCCAGACAGUUACUUCCCAGAGGGAGGUGGUUGUGUUUUAAGCAAAGCCUAUUGUAACUUCAGAGUCCAGGUGGGGCACACAGUGUUGGGUGAGUUCACAUUUGGAUGGGAUUUAUAUCUCCGUUUACUGUCUACCGAAGUCACCGUUUCACAGGGGCGUGGUUCCUCACUUCUUGCUGUUGAUAGAUCUGUGCUGUUUUGCUUUAUUAACUCACAAAUUCACUGUUGAGCAUUUUCAGUUGAAUUUAUUUUGUGAAAUAAUUCAAGUAGCGUGUUGACUAGAUGUACUGGUUUGGUUGUGAGGUGGGAUGUGGUUGACCUCUGUCUUAUUUGGCUGUGAACAAUCUCCAUGGGAGCAUUCAUGCUCUUUGUAAGCACUUGGCGUGCUGAUACCAACUCACAGUUAAGUUUUGUUGUUGCUCCUUUUUUUUUUUUUCAUUUCAAUUUUAGACCAUGAGAAUUUGCACCAAGGCUCCCCUGGUUUGAGUGGAGCUGCCUGGAUCAAACGCUGCCUGCUCUGCCCUGGC